AUUAGUGCGAUAUCGGACGAUAUCUCCUUAGAGGGUAUCGCUAGAAGAAAAUGUUUAUAUAUAAAGUUGUUUGGUGCUCAAAGGCUAUGUACAGGCAAUUGAUGGAGGCUAAAAACGCCAAAAAUAAGAUCGACCCAGAAAUAACACUGCAAUUUUUAAAAUCAGCAAUUUACUACUUCUUAACUGACAAAGAAAAUAGUCAAGGUCAUCUAAAAGCGAUCCAAAGCAUUUUAGGAUUCACCCCAGCCGAAAUUAAUCAAAUUGAUAAGAAUAGAACUAAUUAAAUUUAAAUAUAAACGUA